GUUGAGGAACCUAAGUAGAGAAAUUAUAUACAAGAAACUGUUUCAACAACAGCUGAAUAGAUUCAACUUGAUCUGUUCUGAGACUGUAUUUUUUUAAACCUAUUUUUGGCAUCAGAGUGAUAUUUUUGAUAGUGCCCACAUUGCAACCCUUCUAAAUAUCGUUGCACGAUGAAAACUUGUGUCAGAUCACCUCUCCUAAUGCUCAAGUUGAUCUACUUCAUUUUACCAGUUCUGGAGGGCCAACGAGUCAAUGUCUGGCCUGAAGUGACUGGAUACCUGGGGCAUGAUGUCACCCUGCCAUGCCAACUUAUCCAAGGAUCACAAAAUGUCAAUCUUACACAGGUUCAUUGGGAUCUCCUGCAACCAGAAGGAAAACUUAUCUCUAUUAUUGUUUUUAGUAGCCAGUUUGGGGUGAGCAUUCCUGAAUCUUCUCUGAAGGAGAGACUGGAGAUUACUGAACAAUUGCUGCUAAUUAAAAACGUUGAAAUGAGAGAUGCAGGGUCAUACGUGUGCACCAUUGCAACCUUCCCUCUUGGUUCAUUUGAAGGAAAAACCAACCUUGUUGUUCGAGAACAGACAGAACUGAUGCAGAUAUUACCAAGGAUGAUUGCUACAGCCAUAUUCAUUCUGAUUAUAGUGACCAUGGCAAUCACAACUUAUGUCAUUAUCAUCAGAAUAAGACAGUCAAGCACCGUGUCUGCACUGAUACAGCUAGUCCAGUGAUCUGUGAUUGAAAGAGACGAGGGUCUGAUCUACUCUGAUGUCAAGUUCAAACCAUUCAGAGAUGCUACAACUUCUUCCAAUGACAAACACAGAGACCAUUCAUGAUGAUGUCACAUAUACUUCAAGGUGAUGGUUAACUGUUGGCAACCCAAAAGAAGAGAAAGAGAUGUGCAAUGAUGUGUAAAAAAAAAACAAAAAAAAACACACUCUCUUAAAGCUGUUGUGUGUAAGUUGUAUUUACUAGCGUGUUGGUAUCUUGAGUAAAAUUCAAAAGUCAUCACAUCCUGACAGCUGUUAAUAAAUCAUCCUAUUCUUAAAGGCCAGUGUUGUUCUCCAUUUUUCUUACUGUCAACAAAUUGUAUGAAAAAACAGGACCAACAGAGCAUUAUUCAAACUCUCGAUACUUUCUGAUUUCCCUGCUCUAUCUGCGGCCCUUAGUCGAAGACAUAGAUCUAUAAAAAUGAUUAACAACAGUUUGAUGUUAUUCAUCAUUGUUAUUCAUUGGAGCGGGGCAACUAUACUUUUUAGCUAAUGUUACUCAAACAAAAGUAAACUGUACAUUUGCUGGGGAAGUAUUUCCAGGUGCAGAUUAAUACUCAUUUGGUGUUUUAGCAAAUAUAUUUACAGCAACAUUUCUGUGUAUGUGUGAUUGACUCAUAUAAACAAUGCCAGUGUUCAUUAUAAUGGAGGAACAUGUCACCAAGGUCAACAGUGACUCAUUAAUGUGUUGUUAAUAGUUGUUGGACGACAAUGGAUCAAUGUUAUUCUUGGCCUUUUCGUGGGAUUUGUUGACAGUAGGAAAAAUAUAAAAUAUAAUCACCCUCAUCCGCAGUGGCCCCUGAGGACAAAGCACAGAGAAGGCACAAACAGUGAAUGUAGUAAAAGAUGCAUAUCUUAUCCAAUCUGUAAUAUAUAUUUGAAAAAUGAAGCUAAAUUUGAUACCCACUGCCUCUGUUCAUUUUAUUUUGAUUAAAAUGUGGAGCUAUAUCUGUACAUAUAAGAACCCCAAAGUGCAAAGAGGCAGCACUGUUGUUAAACCGUCCAAUAAUAAUCUCUUAUGAAUUUAGCUUUACCUUCAGACAAACAGGCAGCAACAAAUAUCACAUUUCAACUGUGAGACCAAAUUUUAGCAUCCAAUAUGAAUUAUAUUUCGAAAUGCUACAGACGACAGAGCUGGUGGUAAGUUACCAAAGGGCUGUACUUUCCUAAUUCCUCAAACUUACACACAGCAGCUUUAAACCAAACAAGGAUUGCAUAUCAUGAUACAGUAUCAUAUCAGUUUUCUAGAGACAUAGAUUCUAUUGAAAGUUAGUCUUUUAUCCUACUCAGUUUUCUUUCUGUGUUGUGUCUGUUGCGCACAUUCUAUUGCAUUGAUCUCACAAUCCUCAUUACAUUCUUUGUCAUACCAAUAAAAGGUGACAGAACGUGGUUUUGCUGUAGAGAUGCAUACCGUCAAUGAACAUCAGUUGUUUGCUGUGUAAAAGCAUUUUUACAGUAUAAUUUUUUUCAUUUUGCAGUCUUUUAUUUAUUUUUUAAUUGAAAUUCAGUGCUUAAGAAAUUUCAUUACAAUUAUAGUCUGUGUUGUCAGGAGGUGUGGGAAAUGUGUUUUUUAGGUGUGUAAAAGUACUAACUUAAGGACUCAUUUAUUUCUGGUUGUUGUGCUCCAGAUUUCUUUACAAUCAGCAAUUCUUUUGAGAUACUUUAGUGUGUAAACCAUGUCUUCAUUUGCUUUAAAACUACAUUUUUAUGUUGUGGCUACUAUUGCUAAAUAAAGUUCUGCAUUUUUUUCUGUA